UACUAGUGAUACACAAUAAUUCAAUAACUUCAAAAACGUGUGAUUUUUAGUUUACGGUUUCAUGAACCACCGAGCGCCCCCUAGAGGAAUAACAGGUAAUGUCCUCUAAGAAACAGUGACUAGUGAGUAUUAGCCCCUCAAACACACAGAGGACAGUGAAACACGGACAAAGAGAGUCGAGAGGAGCUGAAGUCAGUGCAUCUGCUCCUGAACUCCUCUGUCACAUCAUGGCUCAAUCACCGGAUGAUGCUUUGCAUGGGGGUUUGUGUUUCAUCACCCAAAGCAGUCCAGCUCUCUGAGAGUGAGGGAGACUGAGCUGAUGAAGAAGGGUUUGUUUUCCUCAGACGUGUUCCUCAUUCUCCUGCCCUCUCUGAUUGCCUCACACGCUUUGACACUGGGUCUGGGAAUUUACAUAGGGAAACGGUUGGCCUCCUCCUCCCCCAGCACACUGUGACAUGUGACAUUUGGCAGCUCACUGAUUGGCUGAGGCUGCUGCCACUAUCACUGUAGCCCAAUCACUGCUCUUUUCUCCUCCUGUCAUGGACAACAGCCUCUUCUACCUCUGUCUGUGUUUGUCCUGUUUCACCACAAAACCAGUCUGUCUGUGUCUCUUUCUCUCUCACCAAUCAUAUAUGGGUCAUAUCAUAAAGAAUCAAACUGUGCUUGAUAUUUUUAGAUUAAAGAGCCUGAUGUUCUAUGACAGUAAUAAACUUAAUGACAUUUCAUCACAUUAAGUUUAUUAGUUUAUAUCAGAUUCUGUGUAAUCCAAUCUGUAUAUGCAAUUCAAAUACUUGAAUAUAAAGGGUACUAUUUUAACGAUCUAAACUCAGUGUACAGUGCACGGCACAAGUGCACUCAGGGCGUGUCCAAAUCCACUUUGCUAUUUUAACGACAGACAAACAGUCCAUCUACGGGACAAGCAGGCGUCCACCAAAGCUCCGCGCGAUGAGUCAGUUAAUAUACAGUAUAUGUGUGUGUGUAUUGGCACAAUUGUUCAAUUAAUUAGCCAAUUUCAUUCAUCAUUAUAAGUAGUAAUUGGCUGAAUUGCAAAUAGGUAACCUAAUUCUAAUAUGCAAUGACUACCCAUCGUUGUUUUUUUAUAUUUAUGUAGCCUACACAAUAAUAUUCUUUUGUUUGUACUAUUUGGCAUGUUUGUGUGAUGUGCAUCCCUGUCUGUAAUAAGCAAAGUCAAUGCGCACUGUAGACCUGCCCAGGGGCGCAUUUUCUACCAAUCUUGCUCUUUAAAUAACAAAAAAGUAUUACGCCAUUGACUUUAGACUUUAGACCAGGUCUGAGUUGGUCUACGGUGCAGUCUAUUUUCGGGAAAAUGCGAACGGCGCCAGACUGAAACUAGCAAACACACUUGAGCUGCGCUUGCGUCGCAUUGCGCUGGGUGUAUGAUAGGGCCCUAAAUGUAGGGCUAACUAUUUCUAAUGUCAGACUGCUUAAUAAGUUACCACAUGACUGACCAAAUAUAGAUAUUCUAUAAAAAAAAAAAUUGUGGUCAAAAUGUUAAUAAAAAUAAAAUUUAAAUUGUUUCUGGUGCAAAAAAGUAAAAGUAGAGCUCAGAUCGAACUUUGUGUGUGAUAUGACCCCUUUAACCACCUGUAAGAGUCUUUUUAAGACAAAACUGUCCCUUUAUAUCUUUUUGUAGUUGUUUCCAUGAAGGACUGUGUCCACGUGUGUCAGGUGUUACAGUACAAGGGAACACAGAAACAGUAAUACACUGAAGCUUUAAGAGAGGAGGAAACUAACAAGUCCAGAUGAGACCUAGUGAUACAGAGGCUUCGUACACACGCUGCUCUCCGAUGAUUGAUUGGUUGACCUCUGUCCACGAUGAAGACCUCUGAAGAGCCGUAAUCACAUGUGACGUAAAUCAAGUCUUCUCGCCCGAGGCUCGUGUGUAUCGGCUCAAUGCAGCAGGGCUCAACACCGUCAAUUCCACUGUAUGAAAAAGAGCAGUGUAAACGUUCUGCCUC